CUUUCAAAACGAAGAAACAAGCAAACACGUUAAUUAUGAAGAGUUGCGAAGACAAAAUAGAAUAAAUAAUUGAAAAAAUGAUUGAUAUCAUCGUCAGAGAACGAUAGCAGCUUUCCAAAAUGAAAUGGCAGAUCUUUCCGGGGUUUCUUCAGAUGUCAUUAUUUAGAGAUGUUUGGUACCCCCUGGCUAUAUUAUUAACCGUCGUUACGUGGAGUGGCAUUGCCAUGCUGCACAAGAAUUUAUCUACGUCAUAUUUUCCUUGAAUUGUUUUGUUCUCAAGACCUAUUUGAGAUUUGAUGAUGAAUAAUUUCAUUUGUCUUCAUGCAUCAUUCGACAAAACUGGUUGUAUGCCAUUAAUGCGGGCGGAAGAAGUAACAACUGGAAAACAAGCAAUUUAACUGGUGUUAAAAGAUCUUUAGCAUUUUUUAUGGUCGUGAGUUAAUCCCCGUACAUAUUCAUGCAAGGAUUAGUAUCUGAUCCUGCUCAAUAGUCUAUUCCAUUAGCUACGUACGUCGAAGUUGCGCGGAACCACAAAUAUAGAAACAACUAUUUACUGAUGAUGUUUUAUCAUAUGAUUUUUAGUUAAUGGGAAUAACUCAAACCACUUUAUUGUGGUUGGCUUAUUUCUUUAAAUGAUGAAUAUGAUAGAACGGCAAGUAAUAUCAGUUGUGUGAGAAGCAUAAAGAAAAUAAUGGACUGCGAUUUAUUGAGUUCGAUAGAUCAGUUGAAGAAGAAACGUUUGUUGGGAAAUAGAGGCAUAAAAUCUUUCCGCCUAUUCACAAUAUUUUAGAAAUUAGAAAAAUUAGGAAGCUGGAGAAAAAACUAAGAAGAAUGCAAAAGUGGAAAUGGGGAAUAUUUCAAAACGUAUCUUGGUCGUGCAGAACUUCUCGCUGGCUGACAGGGAAGGUAGGAUUCGAAGUUAGAUGCACCUGUUAUAUAUUUUCCCUUUCUAUGGUUUUGAGAAAGCGGGUCAAUUUAUUCUUUCGUCAUUUGUUGUUAUCGUCGUGUAUUUAGUAUUGUUGUAAAUACACAACAAAGAUUGCCGAAGGUAGCGAGAAUUAACUUUGCUGUUUUUCCGGUUUAUGGGUGAUUGUUCGUAGCUAAGUAGCUAUAAUUGUUAAAACAUGGUUUGACCAUGUUUUGAUUUGAAAUUUCGAUGAAGUAUUUGUAUUUCAAACAUUUCCAAGCUAGAUUCUAAGAAACAAAGUUUGUUUUUUGUGUCCAAUAUUUAUGCAUGCUUAUUAAAUUAAAAAUCACUCCAACAACGGUUGGUGAUCGGCUCUUUUUUGAGUUUCAAUCAAAAGUUCAUCGUCAGAAUCGUUCACUGCAUAAAGGAAUUGACCGAAAUUGAAUUUGACAAAAAAAAAGUUUACAACCGUAGAGCUCUAACGUCGAUGUUUCAUUUCACGAUCCAAGCUGUAGAUUUAAAUAAUAAAAGCAAAGCUUGCGGAGCAACUGAAAGUGCUGAAGUGUGAUAAGACUAUUUUAAUAUGUCUGCUUAUAAACUGCUUAUCUGUCAAAGAUGACGAUGUGCGCUCCGAUUAGCGAAACUCGUUCCUCAACACUUUAAUUUGAGUUUUUGUUUCUUUAUCUUCCUUUGUAUUGGUAAACGUUGGUAUUUUUCUUAGAAUUGCAAUUAAUAUUUCAAACUUUAUUUUUGAAUCGUAUACUAAGAAAUCCAGCUUCUAGAGCUAAAACUUGUCAUUUAUACAACAUUUAUUAAUUGUUUUUGAUGAGACAUAUUAGAAAACCGUGAUUCGUCAUUAGCCAUAAAACACUUUUGUAGCUUUUCCCGUCAUAUCUUAGCGUAACCUCGAGCAAAGUGGGACACUUUUUCAUUCAUUACAAUGUAGCCGCACAACGAAAAACAUUGUUAAGACCAAAUUCGGCCGAAACAAUCCUUGUCAUCUGACAAUUAUUUGGUAGUAAUUUUAAAAACAAAGUCCAUCUUAAGGUCAUGCUUUGAUCAUUCAAGUGUGUGAUCCUUAGGUGUCUCACUUUGUUACCAAUUGGAAAUUAAACGAGACUUACCUUAAAUCGAAGUUUAAAUAAAAUUCUAUUAGUCAUUAGCGAGGAGUGCAGGAACUGUAGGAGAGAGAGUACUGCACAUGAAUUGACCAGUAUUUAGAGCACGAGUAUGGGUACAAUGGUUAGAGUGGAGGAGAGGGGAUCGGAAAAAAAUAUGGGUGGGCCUACGCUUGUAUGACAGCUCUAAAAUUUACAUGCACUAAUAAGGUAACGGCAUCAAAGAGCGUAGUCGUAAUGGCGCGAAAGUCCGGCAAGACUUUGUCUCCCAGCAUUUUAAUUGGUCAUUGACAGUAACUGAGAGAGAACUUGUCACACACACAUUAGAAUCUUGUAGAACUGCGGUGCGCAAAUCUCGCUGACGAUGGGAAUUUUUAAGGCUUGACCAUAUAAGCUCAUUGAGUUUGGGCACAGUAAGUUUGUCGCAAUUUUGCGGUGGCUUUUCAAUUAUUUUUCUGCGCUCCUCAAGCCCAAUAUUUGAAGGAAAUUUUUCAUUUGUAAUCUAAGCUACUUUUACAUUCAAAUCUGAGCAUCUUUACUGUCAAUGUUGUGCAUCAAACAUGACGCCAUCGGUACACAGUUUUCUGAAUGAAUGAAAUAAGAACCACUAUAUAAAAUUGCUGCUUUCGUAUGACAGUUUAUACCUCAAACAUAUAUUUAAACUUUAUAUAAUAGCACACAGUAAGGUAUAAACGCAGCCAUGAAUUACAAACUUACAUCAAAAAUUAACGAAAAGCAAUAUCUACACCUGCGUCCGAUACACUACAUGAAUGAAGUGUAAACAUCAAUGACAUGAAACGCAACCUGACAUUAAAAUAUCUUUAAAGACAUACAAACCCACAAAUUUUGCACUUGAAUUUUCCCCAUGACUCCAUCAACGGGGACAGAUGAACAGUGUGCCCACAUUUAGCCGUGAUAUAGAAAUCACGACAGCGAUUACAUUUUUCUGAAAAUUAGGAGAUAGAUUCUGUUGAAGAUAAAAAAACAUUCGCUAAUUUGAAAUGAAACAGAAAGAACUCGCACUUACUAAUUUCGUUUGAUGCUGACUCCUGCGAUGCCAUUCUGCCAGACUUUGCGAUUUGUGUGUCUUGAUUUUUUGCAGAGUUUUUAUCGUCUUAACACAUACAAAACACUUUUAGUAUUUCAAGUGGUUGAAGUACACAGCGCAUGCGCUUGAGAUGUGACCUUCGCAUUCUUGUACAAGUAUUCGGUAUUUUUAUUUUGCAGAUCUUCGCGCCUGGAAAGUUGUACCCAUUCUUUCGAUCUAUAGACGUUUUGCGUUAUACAUUAUACAAUGAGACGUUAUAACGGACGAAAUUUACAUGUAGAUUCUUUAUUAGUUGAUUGAAAGCUUAGUUUAGAAACUCACCUUACGCCGUCUUUAGGAAAACGGGAAAAACUCAAUUGUGGAUGAGAUGCUUUGCUGUUAGAACAGUUCAUAGCAGAACAAAAUGUUCUGCUUGCCCCCUUUUAAUUUUACCUUUUCACUCAUGACCACAAUAUUAAUUCGAAAACAGUUAAAAAUGGCUUUGGAAAAAGUACAACUUUAUAAUCUCGAAUCAAAAAGUUGCAGUAGAGACGCACACGUGAGAAAGAUCCACAGCAAACCCAAUAUACAAUGCUUUGGGUGAUUUGAGAAUUGAAUAACAUUGGAAACUUAUUUUGAUAAAGACAUUUCUGAGUGAAAAAUAUGUACAAAAUAACAGCAAUAUAAUAAAUAUUAUAUUUUCUUAAUGGUUACAGGCUAGAAAAAUGGCCUGCUUCAAACUGUUCAUAAACUGCUGGAUGCGUUUCGGGUAAUUUUUGCAUAUUGACUAAGUAAUAUGUCAGGAAACGUGCAUAAUUUGGACGGUCGUAGCCAAAUAGCCAAGGGAGCAUGUUUUCCGUAGACUGCAGAUGCAUUUUCCAAUCACCGAGUUUGAUAGAUCGCGUGAAAUCGAGCAAUAUUUGUACCAUUUGCAAAAAUGAUGACCAAACUGAAGCUGUUGGACCAAGUGAUCCUUUUAAAAGAUCUCUUUAACAAUCUUACUUGUGUAUGUUAUCAAUAGUCUCUUUAUGAACUUCA